GACAGAGGAUGCAAGCGUUAUCCGGAAUGAUUGGGCGUAAAGCGUCUGUAGGUGGCUUUUUAAGUCUGCCGUCAAAUCCCAGGGCCUAACCCUGGACAGGCGGUGGAAACUACCAAGCUGGAGUACGGUAGGGGCAGGGGGAAUUUCCGGUGGAGCGGUGAAAUGCGUAGAGAUCGGAAAGAACACCAACGGCGAAAGCACUCUGCUGGGCCGACACUGACACUGAGAGACGAAAGCUAGGGGAGCGAAUGGG
rnacentral:rRNA from 1 species